UGAUCAUGGCUCAGAUUGAACGCUGGCGGCAGGCCUAACACAUGCAAGUCGAACGGUAACAGGAAGCAGCUUGCUGCUUCGCUGACGAGUGGCGGACGGGUGAGUAAUGUCUGGGAAACUGCCUGAUGGAGGGGGAUAACUACUGGAAACGGUGGCUAAUACCGCAUAACGUCGCAAGACCAAAGAGGGGGACCUUCGGGCCUCUUGCCAUCAGAUGUGCCCAGAUGGGAUUAGCUUGUUGGUGAGGUAACGGCUCACCAAGGCGACGAUCCCUAGCUGGUCUGAGAGGAUGACCAGCCACACUGGAACUGAGACACGGUCCAGACUCCUACGGGAGGCAGCAGUGGGGAAUAUUGCACAAUGGGCGCAAGCCUGAUGCAGCCA
rnacentral:rRNA from 1 species